UUAUUGACGUAGAAAUCUGAAAACAAGAUGAACUGAUAUUAAUCAUAAUUAAAGUUUUUUUCUGCAUCAUAAAGGUAUGCUCAGUACUAUUACUAAAUGCUACAUACUAAAUUUUGGCAAAAUCUUGCUUGCUUAUAUGUAUAUUUAUUUCCAACAAUCCCGAUAUGUUCAUAUAUGUAACUAAUCGUUGGGAUAUUCUUACUUAAGAAAAGGUCCUUAAAGGGCCCCACUCACCUCGUUCUUUUCUGUCGUUUUUAACCGAUGGUUAAAAAUGUCAUAAAAAUGAGGUGUAUGGACGAGAACGUCGUUUUUCCUCGUCGUUCCAAAAUUUCAGGCAAGGAUUGAUUUUUUUCGGUUAUCGUGCUAACCGUUCGGGUAAACACGAGGUGUGUGGCGUCAACAGUUUGAUUGGUCAGGCAUAUUUCAGCGACAGUGACGUUCUGUUCAACCUGUCUUUUCUUGUUUAUUUUUGAUUAUUGGCUUAUAUUGAUUUAGCUAGACUUGUUUUGUUUUAUGGUUUAAAAACAUGUCCGAUAUACGACAGUGGAACAGAGACUUUGUACUAGAGUUUAUAGAACUUUAUCGGUCAUUUCCUUGAGUGUGGAAAGUUAAAUCGGCAGAAUACCAUGAUCGAAUAAAAAAAAAGGCUUAUGAAGCAUUGCUAAUGAAAUACAAAGAAGUGGAUGCUGAAGCAACAGUAAAAUCAGUAAAACAAAAAAUUGAUUCCUUGCGGGGCGCGUUUCGAAAGGAAUUAAAAAAGGUAAAAGACUCUUUGAAAUCUGGUGCUGGCUCAGAGGAUACAUACAAACCACACCUUUGGUACUACGAUAACUUGAUAUUUUUGACUGAUUACGAGACGACUAGAAGAGGUGUUGGAAAUAUAGAAGACGAAGAUGCACAUGAAAGUAAUUCUGAGAUUGAAACAGUUACAGAGGCACAAUCUCCAGCCGAAAUACUUGAAGACGAGGUCAGUGACACAGCACUACCCCAAAUAUAUAGAAGUAGGUUGUCAAGUUUGGCCUCAACUUCUAGUAGAGAUGCCCAGACAUCAUCAUCAUGAUUUCGAUCUAAAUUAUCUAAAAGAUCUAGGGCGGAUGAUAUUUUAAGUAAAGUGGACAAACGUUUAGAUCAAAGCGAUGACCAAUUUGACAUUAUCGGUAAAAACAUUGCCCACAAACUAAGAAAAUUACCGUCAGAAGUAGCCCUGGUUACCGAGAAAAUGAUAAACGACAUAGUUUUUGAAAGUCAAAUGGGCAACGUCGAUAAAUAUUCGAAAAUUAAUAUAUACAGUACUAUAUAUAGUAUAGUUAGAAAAGUUUAUAAAGAACCGGUGACAUCAACAGGCGGCAAAAUCCGCGCAUCUCGUUAUUUUAUCGAUCGGGUCAGAUGACUAUGAAGACAGUGAAGGCGGCACACUUGUUGAAAUUAUUAAUAUUUAUUUGUAAUAGAGUUUAAAUAGCCCUAGAUUUUUAGUAGGUAUAGCUAGCGAUGUUAUAAGUGCGUUUGAUUUAGUUGAAAUACGAACUAAGAAUGCAUAUAUUUGAAUUUAAUUGCUCCAAGAUUCGUUUAAAAAAAAUGUAGAUAAAUUAAAAUUAUAUUUUUUAGCAUUGUGAUGUGCCCAUAAAAAAUCUAAUAAAAAAUAGUUUUACUUACAGGAGGAUGCAGUUCUCUAAUUAUUUUUAAAACAGGACUUCAAAU